rnacentral:rRNA from 1 species
AUUGAACGCUGGCGGCAGGCCUAACACAUGCAAGUCGAGCGGAUGACGGGAGCUUGCUCCUUGAUUCAGCGGCGGACGGGUGAGUAAUGCGUAGGAAUCUGCCUGGUAGUGGGGGACAACGUUUCGAAAGGAACGCUAAUACGGCAUACGUCCUACGGGAGAAAGCAGGGGACCUUCGGGCCGUGCCAUAGCAGAUGAGCCUAGGUCGGAUUAGCUAGUAGGUGAGGUAAUGGCUCACCUAGGCGACGAUCCGUAACUGGUCUGAGAGGAUGAUCAGUCACACUGGAACUGAGACACGGUCCAGACUCCUACGGGAGGCAGCAGUGGGGAAUAUUGGACAAUGGGCGAAAGCCUGAUCCAGCCAUGCCGCGUGUGUGAAGAAGGUCUUCGGAUUGUAAAGCACUUUAAGUUGGGAGGAAGGGCAGUAAGCUAAUACCUUGCUGUUUUGACGUUACCGACAGAAUAAGCACCGGCUAACUCUGUGCCAGCCGCCGCGGUAAGAC